GACGAACGCUGGCGGCGUGCUUAACACAUGCAAGUCGAACGGAAAGGCCCUGCUUUUGUGGGGUGCUCGAGUGGCGAACGGGUGAGUAACACGUGAGUAACCUGCCCUUGACUUUGGGAUAACUUCAGGAAACUGGGGCUAAUACCGGAUAGGAGCUCCUGCUGCAUGGUGGGGGUUGGAAAGUUUCGGCGGUUGGGGAUGGACUCGCGGCUUAUCAGCUUGUUGGUGGGGUAGUGGCUUACCAAGGCUUUGACGGGUAGCCGGCCUGAGAGGGUCACCGGCCACAUUGGGACUGAGGUACGGCCCAGACUCGUACGGUAGGCAGCAGUGGGGAAUAUUGCACAAUGGGCGGAAGCCUGAUGCAGCAACGCCGCGUGCGGGAUGACGGCCUUCGGGUUGUAAACCGCUUUCGCCUGUGACGAAGCGUGAGUGACGGUAAUGGGUAAAGAAGCACCGGCUAACUACGUG
rnacentral:rRNA from 1 species